UAUAACUUGCUGGUUUUUAUUUGUAUUGUGUAAAUUAGCCACCCUUUCAGAACUAAUUGGUGUAAUCCACAAUUGCAUAGGGCUUAGCCUCUACAAAAUUUGAUCCUGGGAGGUGAACUCAUAAGGUUAUCUAUUUAUUUAUGGUAUUUAUUAUUGUAAUGGUGGUGAAUGAAACUGAAUCUUCGUCGGUUGGAAAGUAUCAGCAUUGUUUACAUUAAUGAAUUUUGAUAUUUUACAUGAAAUAAGUUUUCUAAUGCACUCAGUGCGAUGAGAAAAUUCAUAAAAGUAGGUCGGUCUUGUGAAC
rnacentral:lncRNA from 1 species